AACUUCAAUUUAAAAAAAGUGCCUUUGGCUGACACGGCCUGUCCGUGUUUCAGGAAGUGGCCUUAGGGGAAAAAAACAGGUACUUGCAGUGCAAGCAAGGAAGAAUGUGGCCUGAGCUCCGGGUACCAGGCUGCCUCUGUGCACAGGCUACAAUCCCGACACACUGGAGGCACGCUCGGUUCUCUGCAAUGUGGUCACACCUUGCUAAACGCUAACCAGCCAUGAAACAGGGAACAAAAGGGAGGAGUAAGGGUGUAGCGUGCGUGGGGGGAGGACCCCUCCUUUUCACCUCUAGGGCGGGGGCGGUGAGGGGUGGCAGGGCCUCCACACACCCGGCGCUGCCUCCACCCUGCUGGGAGGGAACCUGCUGGGUGCGAGGCCCAGAGGCCGCUUCUUCUCCGUCCAAAGGAUGGCGGGGCUGGACCACAUCUCCCUGCCCAGCUACCUUGGGAAGUGGGGGUGGGGGGACCCCUAGUUUCCUUAGUUCCUGGAGGCCCCAGAUCACAGCCCCCACAAUGGGUGUAGAAUUCCUGAGUUCUUCCAGGACACCAGGAAUCGCGGCAACCUGGGGCUCCAAACACUAAACCUAACAGGGCAGACCCCCACAUCCUCCCCGCCAUUGGUGCUGCCUGUCCAUUACGUGAGCGACCCAGGAGGUGUGCAGUGGUACUGUGGUUUUCACCCACAUCUCCUUGGAGGCUGACGAUGUUGGACAUCUUCCCAUGUCUUUAUUGGCCAUUUGUGUAUCUUCUUCACAAAAACGACUCUUCAGGUCCUUUGCCCAUUUUUUAAUUGGAUUACUUGUCUUUUGUUGUAAUCCAACCACUUAAAAAAAAAGAAAUAUUGGAAAGAAUGCUUAGAAUUGUGCCCAGCACGUGUUAAAGACUCAAAAAGAGAAACAGGAAGUAGAAGACAUCAGAGGACGUCCCCCAGCCCCGCUCCGCAGGAAAGGCAGACGCUGUUUCAUGAAGCUCCUGUUUCACUCAUACAAAUACGUGUGAGCUGG